rnacentral:rRNA from 1 species
UGGCGCGAUUGGAUGAGCCCACGUCGGAUUAGCUAGUUGGCGGGGUAAAGGCCCACCAAGGCGACGAUCCGUAGCUGGUCUGAGAGGAUGAUCAGCCACACUGGAACUGAGACACGGUCCAGACUCCUACGGGAGGCAGCAGUAGGGAAUAUUGGACAAUGGGCGCAAGCCUGAUCCGGCCAUGCCGCGUGAGUGAAGAAGGCCCUCGGGUUGUAAAGCUCUUUUGUCCGGAAAGAAAAGCGCCGGGUUAAUACCCUGGUGUCCUGACGGUACCGGAAGAAUAAGCACCGGCUAACUUCGUG